rfam:[Clostridium] thermoalcaliphilum strain DSM 7309 CLOTH_contig000001, whole genome shotgun sequence.
AUAACCUUUUAAAUAUAGUCCAGAGAGGCUAGCAAGGGAUGUGUUAUAUAAGGUGUUUACACGACUUCUUGCUGCCUUGCAAGAAGUCUUUUUUAU